rnacentral:rRNA from 1 species
AGCGAACGCUGGCGGCGUGCCUAACACAUGCAAGUCGAACGUGAAAAGGGAAACCUGAGUAAAGUGGCGUACGGGUGAGUAACGCGUAGGUAAUCUACCCCAGAAUCUGGAAUAACCUGCCGAAAGGCGGGCUAAUACUGGAUAGAGCGAGGGAACUCGUAAGAGAGUUUUUCGGGAAAGGGAGCCCGCAAGGGCCUUCGUUCUGGGAUGAGCCUGCGUCUCAUUAGCUAGUUGGUAAGGUAACGGCUUACCAAGGCGAUGAUGAGUAGCUGGUCUGAGAGGAUGAUCAGCCACACUGGAACUGAAACACGGUCCAGGCUCCUACGGGAGGCAGCAGUGGGGAAUCUUGCGCAAUGGACGAAAGUCUGACGCAGCCACGCCGCGUGAGUGAAGAAGGCCUUCGGGUUGUAAAGCUCUGUCGGAUGGGACGAACAUCUUCAUAGUGAAUAGCUAUGAGGACUGACGGUACCAUCAAAGGAAGCACCGGCUAACUCCGUG